UACGUAGGGGACUAGCGUUGUCCGGAAUCAUUGGGCGUAAAGAGCGUGUAGGCGGCUCGGUAAGUCCGCUGUGAAAGUCCAGGGCUCAACCCUGGAAUGCCAGUGGAAACUGUCGAGCUAGAGUCCGGAAGAGGCGAGUGGAAUUCCUGGUGUAGCGGUGAAAUGCGCAGAUAUCAGGAGGAACACCAAUGGCGAAGGCAGCUCGCUGGGACGGUACUGACGCUGAGACGCGAAAGCGUGGGGAGCAAACAGG
rnacentral:rRNA from 1 species